AACAAACGCUGGCGGCAGGCUUAACACAUGCAAGUCGAGCGCCCCGCAAGGGGAGCGGCAGACGGGUGAGUAACGCGUGGGAAUCUACCCAUCUCUACGGAAUAACGCAUGGAAACGUGUGCUAAUACCGUAUACGUCCUUCGGGAGAAAGAUUUAUCGGAGAUGGAUGAGCCCGCGUUGGAUUAGCUAGUUGGUGGGGUAAAGGCCUACCAAGGCGACGAUCCAUAGCUGGUCUGAGAGGAUGAUCAGCCACACUGGGACUGAGACACGGCCCAGACUCCUACGGGAGGCAGCAGUGGGGAAUAUUGGACAAUGGGCGCAAGCCUGAUCCAGCCAUGCCGCGUGAGUGAUGAAGGCCCUAGGGUUGUAAAGCUCUUUCCCCGGUGAAGAUAAUGACGGUAACCGGAGAAGAAGCCCCGGCUAACUUCGUGCCAGCAGCCGCAGUAACAC
rnacentral:rRNA from 1 species